rnacentral:tRNA from 1 species
UGGGGUAUCGCCAAGCGGUAAGGCACCGGUUUUUGAUACCGGCAUUCCCUGGUUCGAAUCCACGUACCCCUGCCU